rnacentral:piRNA from 1 species
GCAUUGAACACUGAUAGUGCAGAAUCCACA